rnacentral:tRNA from 1 species
GCCCGGAUGGUGAAAUUGGUAGACACAAGGGACUUAAAAUCCCUCGGGCCUUAUACGCCCGUGCCGGUUCGAUUCCGGCUCCGGGCA